GAAAUUAUUGUGCUCUCUCAGAAACAUCUGUGAGAGGAUAUCAUAGCCACGACCUAGCAUGCAGACACAGUUAUUAAUUGUCUGUCAUUCCUGUUAACCUUAUGUAAGACUACACUCAAUAAUUAACUUGUACAAUUACAACUUGACAGUGCCCAUGAAAGAGGUGUCCUGCAAGUGCUGCCCAGCACACGUGCUGCCUCAUUAGUGGCAUCAUCCAGACCUUCUCCUAUCACAGAGUGCCUGUGCUUUGUUUCUCUGGGCUUGACGUAUCUCACUUUGUACAGAGACAUCCUACUUCAGUAGGAGUUAUUGGAGACACAGGCUUAAGCCAGACAGGCUCUCUGUUACCUCCAUCUGCAUUGGAGAGGGACAACAAAAUCAGCCUGCACAGCCGUGUGGUAGCAGAGUCCCUGGACCAGAGAUACAGACCAUUACACUUGAAGGAGGAUGCAGGGUUGACAUCUACUUUGCUUCACUCCCAUUCCAUCACUGGGGGGCAAGGAGGCUCUAGUUCUGGUGGCGGCCAUAUCGCACACUCAACCCUGCAAGAAGAGCCAGAGCUCUCCAGCCUGUGCACCCACCAUGGAAAAUGAGGAUCCCUGAGAAAAUUCCCAGAUGAAUGUGACUGUAAUCAACAUAUUCCAUCAGUCAAGAAUUAAGAGGUUUUCCAAAUCCUGAUCAAGGGUGACAUCCUCCGCACAGAAAGAUCAGGAAGCUGCCAGAGAGGCUGAAAGGCAACUGUGCAAGACGUGUCUGAGACACAGGAUGUGUUAAAAUGGACACUAGCCUGGCAGUCAGGACUCAUGAACAAGGCUUGCUUCAAAAUGUUGUUAGCCAUCAUGAAAAGCUACAGACAGCACUUGCAGUAAACACAUGCAGGAGUCCAAGCCACAGAUACUUUCAGAAAAAAAAUAAAUAAAAUGGUGUUUUGAAUCCA
rnacentral:lncRNA from 1 species